UACAGAGGGGGCAAGCGUUGUUCGGAAUUACUGGGCGUAAAGGGCGCGUAGGCGGCCCGCUAAGUCGAACGUGAAAUCCCCGAGCUCAACUCGGGAACUGCGUCCGAUACUGGUGGGCUUGAAUCCGGGAGAGGGAUGCGGAAUUCCAGGUGUAGCGGUGAAAUGCGUAGAUAUCUGGAGGAACACCGGUGGCGAAGGCGGCAUCCUGGACCGAGAUUGACACUGAUGAGCGAAAGCUAGGGGAGCAAACGGG
rnacentral:rRNA from 1 species